rnacentral:misc_RNA from 1 species
UUCUAUCACAACAUUUUUUUUUUAUGAUUAUUAGUCAUUACUAUACUGUUGUUAUUAUAUUUUUUUCUAAACUUUUAAUCCGUACUCACAUUUUAUAAUAAUAACGAUACUAACGAGAUAUGGCCUCCGGGGGGAAAAUAUGAAAGAAAAACUGCCACUUACCGUGCGGUUUCGAGUGCAAUGCGAAAAUCUAAUGAUCCGCGGCAACAAGUUGCCCGGCGGCUUCGACGCUGUUGCCGCGUGUCCGCACGCCGCUCGAAGACGUUGGCUUUUAAUAUUUUUCUCCCCUAAAUACACGUGCAUCGUACACGUGUCCAUUAGUUUUUGCAACCCACUUCAGCCAUUCGAUGACUAUAAGAAAUUUGUCAUGGGUCAUGAUGACGAAAUUUUUAACGUCACCGAUUAUAAUUUGUUCACACUAUAUGUUUGUAUGUUAGUAUCUAUAUAUAUGCGCAUUCUACUCGAGUAUUAUUAUGUUGUUUUUUUAUUCUUUAUUUAGAAUCAAUUGUAGGUACCUAUAUAUACACAUCCAUCGUAUAGGUACACGUUUAUUAUUUAUGUUAAUUUCGGAUGAUGUAACACAAAAUUUACCAGAGUACUCAUUUUAGAUAAUUGAGCCAGUUUAUAAAUAUAAUAUAAAAAUGUGUCUGUUGCGCUCUACGUAUUUAUACGAAAACCGACUUUUUCUCGUGUAUAAAAUAUAGAGAAUAAACCAUAAAUCUCCUGGUCGUCGCGCCCUCCGAAGAUUAAUAGAGUGACAACAUAAAGAGGUCUUGAAAUUCUCUCCCUACUGGCUAUUAGAGUAAUUAAUAACUGGCAGCCAGAAAAAGAGGGUUUAAAAUAUAUACAGGGGGCAUGGGGCAAAUAGCCAAAUAUAUACAAUGUGUACUUAUAUAUGUCUAUGUGUCGAAAAUUGUAUCGAGGUCAUAAAUACGCAAUAGGCUUACGAAAACUCGCAAGUUAAUUUAAUUGCUGACCAAUGUUUGUGGGUUCACAAACCACAGUUCGACUGUUUCAAUAUUAUAUUGGUCUAUGUCAUUACUCAUUAAACAUAAUUGUUUGCUUUUUUUACAGAACGAUAAAGACGAAGAAGACACUAUUUCUAUGACAUCGUUAGAUCCUAAGACUAAAGAAUGGGUCGUCAAAUCAGCAAAAUGUGACUAUCAAGCUUUGGCAAAACUGGCAUCUGAAAAUCCUCGAAUUGCAAAGUUCAAGGACCCUAUCACAAGCUAUACGGCGUUACACUGGGCGGCGAAACACGGCAACAUGGACCUGGUGAAAAUGUUGGCCGGCACGUACACUGCCAACGUCAACGCUAAAACGAAUGGAGGUUACACGCCGUGUCACUUAGCUCUGCAGUUCGGACAUGAAGAGAUCUACAAGAUACUGGUCGAGUCGUACGGAGCCGACCCGAACGUCCGGGACUACAGCGGACGGAAGCCAAGACAGUACCAGACGAACCAGGAUACGAGCCUGUCGGCGGACACUUAUCGCAGGCUGUUGGACGCGGAAAGAACUAAACGCCCGAAAGCACAAACACAUCGAAAAGGACCUAAGAUUUCUGAGGAUUGGGUCCCUGAACGUGCGCGUUAAACGGACCACGGAGGCGUUCAGCAACUUCCUGGGCGUCGGACACAACGCUGAAAAGAUCCACAAGACUUGGGGCUCUGCCGACAACAUACAACAGAACGACGCCAAGAGAAUGCCCCCUCCGAAAAGCGUUGCGAUUAAGAAGAGGAAGUCCAAGCGGCCACAGGACUUUCUGAGAAGGGCCUCGGCCCCGGCCGACCGGUCGCCAGACAAGAGAAAAUCUGCGGAAAUCG